AGUCGAUGAGUAUGCGCGCUUAUGUUUCUUCAUAUCGUCGCAGCGUAUACACGCGACUUGUAUGCCAAUAUGUCGAAGAUACAGAGCCACUUCGAGGUCGUGCGACGAAACCGCGAACGUAAACCGUGAACUCCGCUGUAACCCUCUUGACGAAAGGUGUACGCACUUCCAAAAGUUUACGAUAUUGCGCGAUCGUUAUCGAUUAGCAUUUACGUCGCGCCUGCGACACCUUUGGCCAAGCCUGCACGCGAGAGAGAAAAAAGGGUUUCUUAACGCUAGACCAGUGAAGUAUGAGACUUGUAUCAGUGAAAUCGAAACGAACGUGGAAAAUGUGUUGAUUGAAAGGGAAAGAAAAACCUUUAACCGUAUAUUUUACAAAGAUCAUCGAGAUUCCUGAAAAUACACUAUUCGAAAUUUAGAAGAUUUCUACGAAGAAUGACGAGUUGGUCAUUUUUACCGUGUUCUGGUUUCAGCGAUAAUACUUGCGUCGAAAGAAUGCUAACUGUCCCUCGUGAUUCGAUCUUUGGUAAAAUUUCAAAUUAAAAAGAAAUACUUAACGUAUGCAAUGGGAAAAAGUACCGGCUAUCGUCGUAUUUGUUGUAGCAUCUACGUACCGACUAACUGGACUUGAGUAUAUUAAAUCUCGAAUCGUUUAGCAGCACUUUGUGGCGUGACUACAAAAAUUUGAUACCCUGAGAACGAAAUGAAGAUGACCUAGUAAAAGAGGAAACAUUUCAUUGAGAAAGAAACGUAUAUGGAAAUAAUUUUUGCAGCCGGUGUAUAUUGUUUGCGCUAACUAGGUAGUAACCGAAGAAUUUAGGAUAAAAAUGACCCUUGUUCGUGUUUAUCUUCGAUUAAUUCAAAUCAAGUAUUCGAUUGAUUUCUUUUCUAUGGUAAAAUGAAUCGAUAACGCUAUGAUAACAGCUAGCACCAAUACAUUAAUACAUUAAUGUGGUCGGAACAUGUGUCAAUCGAAUUCGUUUUAAAUUUGACACACGAUCGCCGAAUUUUAAGUGCAAACGAAGUGUGAGCGGCCAUAUAAUUUGUAUGCUGAUACAUCGAAGAAAGUCAUUCGAGGUUAUUCGACGAAAUUACGAAAGGAUCGGACGCCGAAGAAACCUUUCGUUCGAUUCGAAGAAUAGAAGGAAGAGAUGAUUCAUAUAUGCUGACAUACACGAGAUGCUUUCGGAAAAUUAAAGAAUCAUUCGUUUCUGGUUGAAAGAAUAACUUUAUUCCGCUGUAAUACGAUCUUUAAAGUGCUACAGCAUAGAAAAAGGAAGAUCACAAAACAAUCUGCGUGGACUUACUUUAAAACGCGAUACUUCUAUUUUCUGAUCAUUAAAUUGUAUUUCCUCGUAGAUGCCUCUAUACUCGAAAAAAAGACGUAAAAGUGAGGAUGAUUUUUGUCGCAAAAAUAUAUGCUUUGAGCUAUUUCACUUUUCAUUCAAAGUGCCAUAGAACGUCGACGAAAGAUCGUAUAUCGACUAUUAAGAAAUCGUUGCCUUUAAAUCUGUUCUGAAACGAAUAGCGAAAAAAUUUCUUAAAUUUCACAGGCUUGUUCGAAUUUGUAGAAUUUUCGGAAUGAAAAAUGAUUUUCAUUUUCCCGCCCCGCUUCUAAGUAUAAAAGCGUCUUCGAGAAAAAUUAAUUUAGAGUUGAGAAAGUAGAGACUUCGCCAACUGAAAUGAUAAUAGUUGUACAAUCCCACGCUAAUAGUUGUACAAUCUGUCAUCAGGAAAUUACAGUACUUCAAAAAUUGAUAACACUUUAAUUCAGAAUUGAUGAUCGUUUUUAACUUGCCCGCAAAGAUUUAAGUAAUAAACAACAAAUAAAAGAAAUAGGUAAAAGACCCAUUUUAUAAUUUCA
rnacentral:lncRNA from 1 species